GAGAACAAAGCAACGCGUCAAAUAAUGUCGAAAACAAAGAAAAUGUGAGAAAGGUACAAUUUGUGUAUGUCUAAGAAGAUACGUUAUGUCUUUUUUUUUGUU
rnacentral:ribozyme from 14 species